rnacentral:ncRNA from 1 species
GAAAUGCGUUGAGGCGCAGCAGUUGACUAGACAUCUAGGGGUAAAGCACUGUUUUGGCGCGGGCCGCGAGAGCGGUGCUAGAUAUGACCUCAAAAUAACAAGGGUCGAGGUCAGCCAGUGAGAUGAUGGGGCAUAAGCUUCAUCGUCGAGAGGGAAACAACCUGAAUCACCAGCUAAGGCCCCUAAAUGACCGCUCAGUGAUAAAGGAGGUAGAGGUGCAGAGACAGCCAGAAGGUUUGCCUAGAGCAGCCACCCUUAAAAGAGUGCGUAAUAAAAAAAAAAGAAAAAAGCAUGGGUUGUCUUAAUUAUUUUUUAUAAAUUAUAUUGAUUCAAUGUAUUACAAACAAUAUAUUAAAGAAUA